UACAGAGGGUGCGAGCGUUAAUCGGAGUUACUGGGCGUAAAGGGCGCGUAGGCGGUUAUUUAAGUUAGAUGUGAAAUCCCUGGGCUUAACCUAGGAACUGCAUCUAAUACUGGGUGACUGGAGUAUUGUAGAGGGUAGUGGAAUUUCCGGUGUAGCGGUGAAAUGCGUAGAGAUCGGAAGGAACACCAGUGGCGAAGGCGGCUACCUGGACAAAUACUGACGCUGAGGCGCGAAAGCGUGGGGAGCAAACAGG
rnacentral:rRNA from 1 species